GACGAACGCUGGCGGCGUGCCUAAUACAUGCAAGUCGAGCGGACUUGACAGAGCUUGCUCUGUUCAAGUUAGCGGCGGACGGGUGAGUAACACGUGGGCAACCUGCCCUGCAGAUUGAGAUAACUCCGGGAAACCGGGGCUAAUACCGAAUAAUAUCGUAGAUUUCAUGAUCUUCUUUUGAAAGAUGGCUUCGGCUGUCACUGAAGGAUGGGCCCGGGGCGCAUUAGCUAGUUGGUGAGGUAACGGCUCACCAAGGCGACGAUGCGUAGCCGACCUGAGAGGGUGAUCGGCCACACUGGGACUGAGACACGGCCCAGACUCCUACGGGAGGCAGCAGUAGGGAAUCUUCCGCAAUGGACGAAAGUCUGACGGAGCAACGCCGCGUGAGUGAUGAAGGUUUUCGGAUCGUAAAACUCUGCUGUCAGGGAAGAACAAGUACGGGAGUAACUGUCCGUACCUUGACGGUACCUGACCAGAAAGCCACGGCUAACUACGUGCCAGCCGCCGCAGUAAAAC
rnacentral:rRNA from 1 species